AUUGAACGCUGGCGGCAGGCCUAACACAUGCAAGUCGAGCGGCAGCGGAAAGUAGCUUGCUACUUUGCCGGCGAGCGGCGGACGGGUGAGUAAUGUCUGGGAAACUGCCUGAUGGAGGGGGAUAACUACUGGAAACGGUAGCUAACACCGCAUGACCUCGAAAGAGCAAAGUGGGGGAUCUUCGGACCUCACGCCAUCGGAUGUGCCCAGAUGGGAUUAGCUAGUAGGUGAGGUAAUGGCUCACCUAGGCGACGAUCCCUAGCUGGUCUGAGAGGAUGACCAGCCACACUGGAACUGAGACACGGUCCAGACUCCUACGGGAGGCAGCAGUGGGGAAUAUUGCACAAUGGGCGCAAGCCUGAUGCAGCCAUGCCGCGUGUGUGAAGAAGGCCUUAGGGUUGUAAAGCACUUUCAGCGAGGAGGAAGGCAUCACACUUAAUACGUGUGGUGAUUGACGUUACUCGCAGAAGAAGCACCGGCUAACUCCGUGCCAGCAGCCGCGGUAAUACGGAGGGUGCAAGCGUUAAUCGGAAUUACUGGGCGUAAAGCGCACGCAGGCGGUUUGUUAAGUCAGAUGUGAAAUCCCCGCGCUUAACGUGGGAACUGCAUUUGAAACUGGCAAGCUAGAGUCUUGUAGAGGGGGGUAGAAUUCCAGGUGUAGCGGUGAAAUGCGUAGAGAUCUGGAGGAAUACCGGUGGCGAAGGCGGCCCCCUGGACAAAGACUGACGCUCAGGUGCGAAAGCGUGGGGAGCAAACAGG
rnacentral:rRNA from 1 species